rnacentral:rRNA from 1 species
AACUUAAGAGUUUGAUCCUGGCUCAGAUUGAACGCUGGCGGCAUGCUUUACACAUGCAAGUCGAACGGCAGCACGAGUGCUUGCACUUGGUGGCGAGUGGCGAACGGGUGAGUAAUACAUCGGAACGUGUCCUAAAGUGGGGGAUAACGCAUUGAAAAAUGUGCUAAUACCGCAUAAUCUUUGAGAAGAAAAGCAGGGGAUCGUAAGACCUUGUGCUUUAGGAGUGGCCGAUGUCUGAUUAGCUAGUUGGUAAGGUAAAGGCUUACCAAGGCGACGAUCAGUAGCUGGUCUGAGAGGACGAUCAGCCACACUGGGACUGAGACACGGCCCAGACUCCUACGGGAGGCAGCAGUGGGGAAUAUUGCGCAAUGGGGGAAACCCUGACGCAGCAACGCCGCGUGAAGGAUGAAGGUCUUCGGAUUGUAAACUUCUUUUAUCUGGGACGAAGAAAGUGACGGUAUCUGACGUAUAAGCUCCGGCUAACUUCGUGCCAGCAGCCGCGGUAAUACGAAGGGUGCAAGCGUUGUUCGGAUUUAUUGGGCGUAAAGCGCGCGUAGGUGGACCUGCAAGUCAGAUGUGAAAUCUCGGGGCUCAACCUCGAAACUGCGUCUGAAACUACAGGUCUAGAAUCUUGGAGGGGGUAGGGGAAUAUCGCAUGUAGGGGUAAAAUCCGUAGAUAUGCGAUGGAACACCAGAGGCGAAGGCGCCUACCUGGACAAGUAUUGACACUGAGGCGCGAAAGCGUGGGGAUCAAACAGGAUUAGAUACCCUGGUAGUCCACGCUGUAAACGAUGAGCACUAGUUUUUGUGGGUAUUGACCCCCUCAGAAACGUAGCUAACGCAUUAAGUGCUCCGCCUGGGAAGUACGGUCGCAAGACUAAAACUCAAAG